AUGGACGAAAGUCUGAUGGAGCAACGCCGCGUGAGUGAAGAAGGGUUUCGGCUCGUAAAACUCUGUUGUUAAAGAAGAACAUAUCUGAGAGUAACUGUUCAGGUAUUGACGGUAUUUAACCAGAAAGCCACGGCUAACUACGUGCCAGCAGCCGCGGUAAUACGUAGGUGGCAAGCGUUGUCCGGAUUUAUUGGGCGUAAAGCGAGCGCAGGCGGUUUUUUAAGUCUGAUGUGAAAGCCUUCGGCUCAACCGAAGAAGUGCAUCGGAAACUGGGAAACUUGAGUGCAGAAGAGGACAGUGGAACUCCAUGUGUAGCGGUGAAAUGCGUAGAUAUAUGGAAGAACACCAGUGGCGAAGGCG
rnacentral:rRNA from 1 species